AAUGCCAUUUCAUUCAAUUGACUUUUAUAUUCGUAUAAUUGACUUUCAGUAUACGUUGACUCGUUGACCUGUAAGUACAGAAACGCAAGAACACGAGAAAAACAUGUGUCUCCAGAAGAACGUUUCUCUUGCGUGCAACUUUUAAUCCAAAUAGAAAGUUAAGUCGAAGGUGAAAAACGUGGAAUGCAUGGACGAGUUCGUUAACAGCAUUCAUUUUAUUAUAAAUGACGUUAUAAUUAAAAGUGUUGUAAUUGAUAAGAAGUUAUGAUAAGAAGUGAUUAGACAAGCGAAUACUACAAACGAGAACAAACGAGCCUGUUAAGAAGAGAUGGAUGCGAAACGCAACGAUGAUGAUAAAGUAUAUCAAAUAGACAACGAUCAUGAGAUUGUCGAUCCAAUGAUGGAUCAUUCUCAAAAUCCAAAUGAAAGCCAGGACUCUUGGUUGAAACGUAAUGCACCAUGUUUUUAUAUAGAAUUCGAGAAUUUGUCUUACAGUGUGCCUAUCGGUAAAGAAAAACAGAAGAAGAUAUUGCAAAAUGCAACAGGAUGUUUCGAGCCAGGGAAAUUGACGGCCGUAGUUGGUCCAUCUGGUGCAGGCAAAUCGACUUUGUUGAGUAUAAUAUCUGGCGUUAAAUCAUCUAACGUGAAAGGAUCUAUUAAGAUAAACAAUCGCGAAAAGAUAGAUAGGAAUAUAUACCGAAAACAAAUUUGUUACAUACCGCAAGAGUUCAUGUUGCAUCCUUUAUUAACCACGAAAGAAACUCUCUACAUUGCGGCGCGUCUUAAAUUGGGUCGAGGAUAUUCAACAAUAAAGUCACACUUUAUCGUCAAUAAUAUCGCCAAGAGUCUCGGAUUGAUGAAUUGCCUUAAUACGACAGCUGGUAAAUUGAGUGGCGGUGAAAAAAAAAGACUCUUGAUCGGUGUGGAGAUUGUAACAAAACCAACUGUUUUACUUUUGGACGAACCCACAAGCGGACUCGACAGUGUAUCCUCUAAUCAGGUCAUCAACCUAUUACAUUCGAUGUCAAAAUCAGGAUGUACAGUAGCUUGUGCGGUUCAUCAACCCAGUAGUCAAAUGAUCUCUGAAUUCGAUAACAUAAUAGUUAUCGAUCAAGGUAGAACUUUAUAUUGCGGUCCACGCGAAAACGUAUUGGACAGUUUCAAGGAAGCUGGAUAUAUUUCUCCGCAUUUUUAUAAUGUCGUCGAAUUCGUACUCGAGGUGGUGACUAAUCAAUGUGACGAUAAUUUGAAGAAUCUAGCCAAAAUGAAUUCGAUCAAGUAUGUUCAGUGGAGGUCGCAAUGCGAGUAUUAUAAAAAUGAGACGGUUGAUACGAAUGGACCUUUGGAACGAUUAGAGAUGGAUGAGGAAAGUGACUUAGCAAAUGAGAAAUUUCGAAAAUUGUCUAUUUGGGAACAACAAAAGAUUUUAUUAUUACGAUCCUUCAUAUGUAUUAAGCGUGACAAUAUUAUGACAAAGCUAAGGUUUAUUGCACACGUAAUUGUUGGAAUUUUAUUGGGUUCUAUAUUUUACGAUUUUGGUAACGACGCAAAUAAAGUAACCAGCAACAUUUCUUGCAUCUUCUUUUUUUUACUCUUUCUAUUCUUCGCCAACUCAUUGCCAGUCGUUCAAAUAUUUCCUACCGAGGCAUCGGUCUUCUAUCGAGAACAUUUAAAUAAUUGGUAUAGUCUGAUGCCUUAUUAUAUAUCGAAGAUAGUCUCGGAUUUACCGAUACAGUUACUCUGUCCUACCUCCUUUUUUAUUAUAGCAUAUUAUAUGACCGGCCAACCUAUGGAACGAAAUAGUUUAUCGCAAGCUUGGAUAGUUUGCAUUUUGCAUACUAUUAUUGGACAAUCGGUUGGAAUAACAGUGGGUGCAAUAUUCGAUACUCAAAUCGGAAUAUUUCUCAUUCCUGCAUUGAGCAUACCGAUGUUUCUAUUCGCGGGUUUCUUUUUGAAACUCAAUGAAAUAUCGUCGUAUUAUCAACCACUUUGUACGAUCAGUUUUUUCAGGUAUGCCUUCGAAGGUAUCAUGCAAGCCAUUUAUGGUUUUGACAGAAAACCAUUGUCUUGUACGGAAAUAUAUUGUCCUUAUCGUUCUCCUAAUGAAAUUCUAUCAAUGAUGAACAUGCAAUCGAAUUUUUAAGAGCUCUCUUCGAAUAAGCUAUCUGUCAGGAAUUUACCAAGGGAGAUUAUCAGGAGAGUUGAAAAAAUGGUGAAUAACUUAUUCUUUAUAUGACACUGCAAUGGCAGUUCUGGAUUCAGUAUGACCAUCCCUAUUUUUCCAUUCAUACGUGCUGGGAAUAUACUAUCCUGCAACAAAAACGUGCUACGUUUUCUUUUGGCCAUCGUUAAUAAAUAUUAUAGCAAUGGUAAAAUAUUAUAGGUGUGGACAAAAUAAUUGAACAUUUCUUUCAAAAACUUUACCAACGAAUUCAAUACUUCUCCGGAUGCCUUAUCGCCAUCGCUUACGUCAAUGAGUGAAAUACCCCAUUGAGGAUUCCUAAUAAUAAGAAGUUGUGCAUUUUGUAAAUCUUCUUUCACUUCUAGAGGUGUCUGUAAGAUUGACUUGUAUCACAUAUUUUAAUACGUAUUCAUCGUAAAAAGAAAACUUCAGAAACAUACCACUUUACUGUUUGCGAACAUAUCCAUAAUUUCAGUGUCUGUUAGAUAUGGUAUAUCGCUCGAAUUGUCGCACAGCACCGAUAUUGCCUUCUUCAAUAAAAUUGGUUGGAGUCGUUUUAACAAUUGUAAUACAGAUUCUACAUUUUCUUUCAUUACACAAUUAACUCCAGGUGCUUUGAGAUCAGGUGUUCCCAUAAAACAGAGCGGUAUAUCACUAUCUAUAAAUUUACAAACUGUUAAUUCUGACAAAUCGUUAUAAUGGGAUUUUUUUUAUUUAUUUAUUUAUUUAUUUAUUGAUUUUUAUUCCAUUAUGCUUAAACGUUAAGCGACUGUAUUAAAUGCAGGUAAAAAGAAUUUUAUGUAAUAUAUUUAACGUGAUGACAUAAAUGAUAUGAUCGUUAAAUGAAAUAUUUAAAUAAUGGGAACAGGAAAUAAAACGUGGAAACUGAUAAUAUAAUCAACAUAUAAUAUUUAUUAGACAUUUCAAAAAAGAAUACACAUUAAGGAAUUUUGGACGCCUGACUCACUUUUAAAUAACUGCAUUUUAUACAGAAAUGGACAUAACUGGGCAGAUAAAAUAUAUUUUGAAAAAUGCCUUGCAAUUACUUUUGAAGUAGGUUAAAAAGAAAAGGAAGAAAAAAAAAAAAAUAAAAAAAUGAAAAGAAAGAAAAGGAAGAAAGAAAGAAAGAAAGAAAGAACGAAGAUAUAAACGGACAUUUGCAUUGCUCUACUUUUGAUCGGAUUAGUAAGAAAGUCAACGAAGUUAAUAAAAAUUAUCGGAUAUAUAAGUUGUCUUACUUUUUCCUAAGAAUAAUAUCAAAAUAAAGUUAUACUACAUAAUUAGAUUAUGUUUCUGCAUACCUACCCAUUGACAAUGAUGGGAAGGUUUCACCUUUACCACCAAGCCCCAAGUAUAUUAUCGCCAGGAUUCCAAAAAAUGAAGCAAGUACUACCACCAGUAUCACCGAAACCAUAUUUUGAUUGUUCCGUGAUUCUUCCUUAUUAGAGGUAGACUUGAAUGUUUUACCAAUAGUAUUGCGAGAUCUAUCAGUAGUUGUAACAACGGGUCUUGAAUUGAAGAAAAAUUGUCUAUGUCAAAAUAUCGUUACAUAAUUGUAUUUGAUAUGUUUCUACAUACCUCGAAGUUGAAGUAGUGUACAAAGAUCUUAAUGAGGAGAAAUGACCAUUAGAAUCUUUCUCUCUAGUUUCUGGUACAACGGACGAUGUGUGUCGUAUCGUAGGACCUAUAAAUGAAAAUUAAUUUUGGAAAAUUAAUUCGUUUGAACAAUCAAUAAUUGAUUAAAUCAAUUUAACAAUUUACUGCUUAUCGUAGAUAAAGACGACGUAGAAGGAUCCAAUGAUGUUCUUGAACUGAGCCUUCUUGUAAAUUCUGAUAAAAAUGGAGUCUCAUAAUUAGAAAGCAAAUCUCUUGUAUCUCUUCCAGUUGCAUCUUCUUUAGUUGAUGGCAUAAAUGUAGUAUAACUUUUAAAAGCAGGCUCAACAUAUUUAUUAUCUUUAAGAGUAUGUACCGGUCUUGACAUUGAUUCAUAUGAUUUUGUAGAUUGAUCAUCGCCAAUCAUAUGUUCGGUAUGCGGUUUAGAAACGUAUAGUUUUUCAACAUUAGUCAAAUAUCUAGACUGCGAGUACGUCGACCUAGUAUCUUCUCUAACAUCUGAAUCUGAACCAGUUUCUAAGCCAUCCGAUAGAUUAGCCGAGUUAUAAAUUUUUGUAUGUUUCUUUUGUAUAUUUGUAAUAGUACGAUUGGUAAACGUUGGACCAGCAACCGACUCAGGUAUAAUAUUAUCAACUAUUUCUACAUUAGGAUCUUUGAUCAAACUUUUAGAUUCGGAAGAUACAGGUACUGCGGAAGAUGGCGGUGGCAUAGGAUUGGCCAAAGUCUGACGACGCGUACUCGAACCUGAUUUCUUUCUUUUAACCACAGUCGAGGCCGUAUCCUCGUCGGUUUCGUCGCUGCUAUAUCUGUAAAUGAUUAUAAAUUAUUAGAAAAUAUCUUUAUAAAGAAAUUGUGAAAAUCAAGUUCAUUAAACGUAAUAAAGAUAAAUAGGAAAGUAUUAACUAUAAGUUAUACCUGGCAGCUAAUGAAUGACGCGUUGCAGCGAGACCUCGGGUUUCUAUAAGAUUCUUUAAUUUUUUAACAAGUAUUUUUCUGGUUGUCUGUGUUACAGGGCCUACCGGGUAUCCAUAUUCCAUAAGCUUACUACGUAAUUCUGCAUCACUGAGACUAUCUACCGACAUUUUGUUUACCAAAACCAUACUGAAAUAUUUAAACAGUUCGAUCCGCACGUAUUAAACUGGCGCAUAAAAUUUACGCACGAUGAAUUAAAAAGACGAAGAGAUUAAUUCGAGACUGUCAAUAAUUUCUCUUUAUUUCACUAUUUUCCUUUGACCUAUGUAUCAUGCACACGUGCAACUUCUUUUAACUUUUUUUUUUUUGGCAAUCUCAUAAAACUAGGCUAUUCAGGAAAGAUUUCUCUCAUAUACCACUUUCAGAAAACAAUCCACUCGUGAACUAAAACAUGGCGCAAUUUUCUAACGGCCAUAGUUUUGUACGCAUUAACCGAUACGGCGUUCCAUACGAAUUCUUUGAGUUCGUAUCUUAUUGGUCAGUUCGUUCGAAAAUAUAGAUAGCUUUUAUUCCAUUACGUAGUUUCGUUUGUAAGACGCCAGAGUGCGCUUUUAACGAACAUUCGUCAUUCUUAAUUCCUAUCUAUGUUCAUCUUUGUCUUUCAUGCCGAAUUUAGACCAACGCCACUUUAAGAAGAUAAUUCGAGUAGACGAGCACGGAGAACGAAUAAUUUAUUCGAAAAGAUAUUAGAAAAUUAUUAUUCUUUAGAAUGAUUACCCGACAACUGAUCAGAAGAUUCACGACAAGCGCCGUACGAAGAUCGGAUCACGAGGGUGAUGGUAUACCCGGUCACAAUUUACCGUUCCCGAUAAAAAACAAGCUCUUGUUGACCAUGAUAUUUUGCGCCUUUUUUGGAAGUGGCUUCUCAUUACCCUUCAUAUCUGUUCGUUAUAAUAUGCUGAAAUAAAUUAUAUUUUAUUAAUACUUAGUAAAGUUAAAUGCGCAUCAAUGGUCUACAAACUUAGAAAUGAAUAUCUGUAGUGUUAUAUGCUAAUUAUUUAUUCGAAUCUAUUGUACAUUAUAUGUACAUUUAACAAGGCAAUAUUAAAUCAUGUUAUUAUGUAAUAUUAAGUUAUCGUAAAUAUAUUCUAGUAAAAUUUA